UUUCCCAUCUCCAGCUGGGUUUGGGUUUCCAAAUCUCUGUCAAACUCAGCCCGUUUCCGUGGUAACAAUCUCACUCUCCCACCUAUGGAUAAGGACAAUUACUUCUUGCUGCUGAGCAGAGAUGGUGGAGCCAAAAGAGAAGGAAUAAGAUUAGAUGCAUCAUUUCUGCCAGAGGAAUUGUGCUGGACAAUGCUGAGGUUCUGUGUGGAAGGCAGGAUUUCUACAGGAGGUGUUCAGGACGCUGAGGAGCUCAGCUCAACGUGCUGGUCCUGUCCCACUUCAGGCUUCUGCCUGCAGAGGAAAAACUACAUUUUCUGAUGUUCUGAUGGCAAAAUAAACUACUCAGGAACUUGGAGACGUGUUGGACAGCUGCUGGAACUGAGCCCAGAGUGAGGGUGGAGCAGGCUGUGUGUGCUCUCUGAGUAGCUGCUAUGUUGCAAGAGUCCAAAAAUUAUACAAAAGCUGGAUGUUGGUUUUAGCUGGAAAUUUUCUUUGCCUAAAUUAGUCUUUCCAGAUGCUACAGAAUAAUUCAGUAAAGUUAAAUAAUGUACAGAAAGAAGGGAUGCUUCUGAAAGAACUUUGCAGUGGAUUAGUUUCAAAUGUGUGUGUAUAAACAUACAUACACACACACACACACACACAUAUAUAUAUAUGUGUGUUUAUAUAAACCUAACCAGAUAUUUGCAGGCUCUUUCAGAGUUAAGGAUUCUAGAGUUUUCUUGGAGAAAUCCUCAUUAUGGUUAAUUAUUGUCAAGACCUUGAUCUGGAGAGAUAAAUAGAUACAUAGAUGUAUAUUUGUGCAACAUGUGAUUUUGCUUAGUCUAUAAGAACUUAUUUCUGAACAUCCGUGUUUGAACUUACAAAAACAGUCUUGCUCUUCCUUUUUAAAUAGUCACCAGCUGUGUUAUUUUCUUUCAUUCGUUCAGCUAAUUUUCCCCAUAUUUAAAUAGCUUGAGAGCUUUGUUAAGGCUUCAUUCUGUUCAAAACUCAAAUUAAAAUGCUGAUUUCUGCA